GACUGGCGCGCUAGAGUAUGGCAGAGGGGGGUAGAAUUCCACGUGUAGCAGUGAAAUGCGUAGAGAUGUGGAGGAAUACCGAUGGCGAAGGCAGCCCCCUGGGCCAAUACUGACGCUCAUGCACGAAAGCGUGGGGAGCAAACAGGAUUAGAUACCCUGGUAGUCCACGCCCUAAACGAUGUCAACUAGUUGUUG
rnacentral:rRNA from 1 species